rnacentral:rRNA from 1 species
AGUGAACGCUGGCGGUAGGCCUAACACAUGCAAGUCGAACGGCAGCACAGUAAGAGCUUGCUCUUACGGGUGGCGAGUGGCGGACGGGUGAGGAAUACAUCGGAAUCUACUUUUUCGUGGGGGAUAACGUAGGGAAACUUACGCUAAUACCGCAUACGACCUACGGGUGAAAGCAGGGGAUCUUCGGACCUUGCGCGAUUGAAUGAGCCGAUGUCGGAUUAGCUAGUUGGCGGGGUAAAGGCCCACCAAGGCGACGAUCCGUAGCUGGUCUGAGAGGAUGAUCAGCCACACUGGAACUGGAACACGGUCCAGAGUCCUACGGGAGGCAGCAGUGGGGAAUAUUGGACAGUGGGCGCGAGCCUGAUCCAGCCAUACCGCGUGGGUGAAGAAGGCCUUCGGGUUGUAAAGCCCUUUUGUUGGGAAAGAAAAGCAGCAGGUUAAUACCCCGCUGUUCUGACGGUACCCAAAGAAUAAGCACCGGCUAACUUCGUG